rnacentral:rRNA from 1 species
AUUGAACGCUGGCGGCAGGCCUAACACAUGCAAGUCGAACGGUAACAGGAAGAAGCUUGCUUCUUUGCUGACGAGUGGCGGACGGGUGAGUAAUGUCUGGGAAACUGCCUGAUGGAGGGGGAUAACUACUGGAAACGGUAGCUAAUACCGCAUAACGUCGCAAGACCAAAGAGGGGGACCUUCGGGCCUCUUGCCAUCGGAUUUGCCCAGAUGGGAUUAGCUAGUAGGUGGGGUAACGGCUCACCUAGGCGACGAUCCCUAGCUGGUCUGAGAGGAUGACCAGCCACACUGGAACUGAGACACGGUCCAGACUCCUACGGGAGGCAGCAGUGGGGAAUAUUGCACAAUGGGCGCAAGCCUGAUGCAGCCAUGCCGCGUGUAUGAAGAAGGCCUUCGGGUUGUAAAGUACUUUCAGCGGGGAGGAAGGGAGUAAGGUUAAUACCUUUGCUCAUUGACGUUACCCGCAGAAGAAGCACCGGCUAACUCCGUG